rnacentral:rRNA from 1 species
UACGAAGGGGGCUAGCGUUGCUCGGAAUGACUGGGCGUAAAGGGCGCGUAGGCGGUUCGUACAGUCAGACGUGAAAUUCCCGGGCUCAACCUGGGGGCUGCGUUUGAUACGUGCGGGCUUGAGUUCGGAAGAGGGUCGUGGAAUUCCCAGUGUAGAGGUGAAUUUCGUAGAUAUUGGGAAGAACACCGGUGGCGAAGGCGGCGACCUGGUCCGAUACUGACGCUGAGGCGCGAAAGCGUGGGGAGCAAACAGG